UUCCAGACUCCUACGGGAGGCAGCAGUGGGGAGUAUUGCACAAUGGGGGAAACCCUGAUGCAGCGACGCCGCGUGAGCGAUGAAGUAUUUCGGUAUGUAAAGCUCUAUCAGCAGGGAAGAAAAUGACGGUACCUGACUAAGAAGCCCUGGCUAACUACGUGCCAGCAGCCGCGGUAAUACGUAGGGGGCAAGCGUUAUCCGGAUUUACUGGGUGUAAAGGGAGCGUAGACGGUCCUGCAAGCCAGAUGUGAAAGCCCGGGGCUCAACCCCGGGACUGCAUUUGGAACUGCGUGGCUGGAGUGCAGGAGGGGCAGGCGGAAUUCCUGGUGUAGCGGUGAAAUGCGUAGAUAUCAGGAGGAACACCGGCGGCGAAGGCGGCCUGCUGGACCGCGACUGACGUUGAGGCUCGAAAGCGUGGGGAGCGAACAGGAUUAGAUACCCCGGUAC
rnacentral:rRNA from 1 species